CCACACUGGAACUGAGACAAGGACCAGACUUCUACGGGAAGGCAGCAGUGAGGAAUAUUGGUCAAUGGAGGAAACUCUGAACCAGCUAUGCCGCGUGUACGGAAGACAGUCUUUUAGAUUGUAAACUACUUUUGCAUAGAAAUAAAAGUUACUACGUGAUAGUAACCUGAAGGUACUAUGCGAAUAAGUGUCGGCUAAUUUCGUGCCAGCAGCCGCGGUAAUACGAAAGACACAAGCGUUAUCCGGAUUUAUUGGGUUUAAAGGGUGUGUAGGCUGUUUAUUAAGUCAGUAGUGAAAGCUUACAGCUUAACUGUAAAAUUGCUAUUGAUACUGAUAACCUUGAGUCAGAUUGGAGCAUCUGGAAUGUAUGGUGUAGCGGUGAAAUGCAUAGAUAUCAUACAGAACACCAAUAGCGAAGGCAGGAUGCUAAAUCUUCACUGACGCUGAGGCACUAAAGCGUGGGGAGCAAACAGGAUUAGAUACCCUGGUAGUCCACUGCCCUAAACGAUGAUCACUAGCUAUUGGAAAAACUAUAUUCAGUGGCUAAGUUAAAGCGAUAAGUGAUCCACCUGGGAAGUACGAUCGCAAGAUUGAAACUCAAAGGAAUUGACGGGGUUCCGCACAAGCGGUGGAGCAUGUGGUUUAAUUCGAUGAUACGCGAGGAACCUUACCAAGGCUUAAAUGUAUUACGAAUAAGCUGGAAACAACUUAGUCUAUAAGACGUAAUACAAGGUGCUGCAUGGUUGUCUUCAGUUCGUGCUGUGAAGUGUUUGGUUAAGUCCUAUAACGAGCGAAACCCUUAUUGUUAGUUGCCAACGGGUAAAGCCGGGGACUCUAACAAAACUGCCGGUGUAAAUCGUGAGGAAGGUGGGGAUGAUGUCAA
rnacentral:rRNA from 1 species